UCGACGAUGAAGCCAGCUUGCGUGGGUGGAUUAGUGGCGAAUGGGUGAGUAACACGUGAGUAACCUGCCUUAACUCUGGGAUAAGCCUGGGAACUGGGUCUAAUACCGGAUAGGAGCGUCCACCGCAUGGUGGGUGUUGGAAAGAUUUAUCGGUUUUGGAUGGACUCGCGGCCUAUCAGCUUGUUGGUGAGGUAAUGGCUCACCAAGGCGACGACGGGUAGCCGGCCUGAGAGGGUGACCGGCCACACUGGGACUGAGACACGGCCCAGACUCCUACGGGAGGCAGCAGUGGGGAAUAUUGCACAAUGGGCGCAAGCCUGAUGCAGCGACGCCGCGUGAGGGAUGACGGCCUUCGGGUUGUAAACCUCUUUCAGUAGGGAAGAAGCGAAAGUGACGGUACCUGCAGAAGAGCACCGGCUAACUACGUGCCAGCAGCCGCG
rnacentral:rRNA from 1 species